rnacentral:tRNA from 2 species
GUCAGGAUGGCCAAGCGGUCUAAGGCACUGCGUUCAGGCCUCAGUCUCCCCUGGAGGCACGGGUUCGAAUCCCACUCCUGACA